GAUGAACGCUGACAGAAUGCUUAACACAUGCAAGUCUUUGGCGAAGCUGUGCUCGCCCAGCCUAGCCAAGGCGGACGGGUGAGUAACGCGUAAGGAACUUGCCCUGCAGUCAGGGAUAACAGACGGAAACGACUGAUAAGACCUGGUAAAGUCAGGCGGACUCAUGUCCAGCCUGAUGAAAAGAGAUGCUGCAGGAGAGCCUUGCGUCCUAUUAGCUUGUUGGUGGGGUAACGGCCCACCAAGGCGAUGAUAGGUAGCCGGCCUGAGAGGGUGGACGGCCACAAGGGGACUGAGAUACGGCCCUUACUCCUACGGGAGGCAGCAGUGGGGAAUAGUGGACAAUGGGGGCAACCCUUAUCCAGCAAUUCUGUGUGCACGAUGAAGGUUUUCGGAUUGUAAAGUGCUUUCAGCAGGGAAGAAAAAAAUGACGGUACCUGCAGAAGAAGCGACGGCUAAAUACGUG
rnacentral:rRNA from 1 species